rnacentral:rRNA from 1 species
AUUGAACGCUGGCGGCAUGCCUUACACAUGCAAGUCGAACGGCAGCACGGGAGCAAUCCUGGUGGCGAGUGGCGAACGGGUGAGUAAAGUAUCGGAACGUGCCCAGUCGUGGGGGAUAACGUAGCGAAAGUUACGCUAAUACCGCAUACGAUCUAUGGAUGAAAGCGGGGGAUCGCAAGACCUCGCGCGAUUGGAGCGGCCGAUAUCAGAUUAGGUAGUUGGUGGGGAAAAGGCUCACCAAGCCGACGAUCUGUAGCUGGUCGGGGAGGACGACCAGCCACACUGGGACUGAGACACGGCCCAGACUCCUACGGGAGGCAGCAGUGGGGAAUUUUGGACAAUGGGCGAAAGCCUGAUCCAGCCAUGCCGCGUGCAGGAUGAAGGCCUUCGGGUUGUAAACUGCUUUUGUACGGAACGAAAAGGUUUGGCCUAAUAAGCUGAGCUCAUGACGGUACCGUAAGAAUAAGCACCGGCUAACUACGUGCCAGCCGCCGCCGUAA